AUUGAACGCUGGCGGCAUGCCUUACACAUGCAAGUCGAACGGCAGCGGGCCCUUCGGGGUGCCGGCGAGUGGCGAACGGGUGAGUAAUGCAUCGGAACGUACCCGGGAGAGGGGGAUAACCGGCCGAAAGGCUGGCUAAUACCGCAUGAACUCGGAAGAGCAAAGCGGGGGACCUUCGGGCCUCGCGCUCUCGGAGCGGCCGAUGUCCGAUUAGGCUAGUUGGUGGGUUAAAGGCCCACCAAGGCGACGAUCGGUAGCGGGUCUGAGAGGACGAUCCGCCACACUGGGACUGAGACACGGCCCAGACUCCUACGGGAGGCAGCAGUGGGGAAUCUUGGACAAUGGGCGCAAGCCUGAUCCAGCAAUGCCGCGUGGGUGAAGAAGGCCUUCGGGUUGUAAAGCCCUUUCGGCGGGGAAGAAAUCGGUCAGGCGAAUAGUCUGGCCGGAUGACGGUACCCGCAGAAGAAGCACCGGCUAACUACGUG
rnacentral:rRNA from 1 species